UGCAAGAAAGGGCUGGACAGGGCACUUUCGGCGGCAGGUUCGGCGGCCGAAAGUCCCUCCAGAGCCGAAAGUCAGGCAGGUUCGGCGGCACCUUCGGCGGCCGAAACUCCCAGACAGAGGCGAAACUCAUGCAUGUUCGGCGGCACUUUCGGCGGCCGAAAGUCCCAGACAGAGACGAAAGUCUCCUUUCGGGGGCAAGCUUCGGCAGCCGAAGGCUGCCUCCACAAGCACGUUCGGCGGCCGAAAGUUCCUUCGGCUGCCGAACCUGGUUUCUCCCAGAAUGGCAGAAACUCAGCUCCCUUAUGCAUUUGUGCCUCC
rnacentral:lncRNA from 1 species